rnacentral:piRNA from 1 species
UACGAGCCACCAAUUUGUUGCACCCACC